AUUGAACGCUGGCGGAAUGCUUUACACAUGCAAGUCGAGCGGCAGCACGGGGGCAACCCUGGUGGCGAGCGGCGAACGGGUGAGUAACAUAUCGGAACGUACCCCGUCGUGGGGGAUAACACAGCGAAAGCUGUGCUAAUACCGCAUACGACCUGAGGGUGAAAGCGGGGGAUCGCAAGACCUCGCGCGAUGGGAGCGGCCGAUAUCGGAUUAGCUUGUUGGUGAGGUAAAGGCUCACCAAGGCGACGAUCCGUAGCUGGUCUGAGAGGACGACCAGCCACACUGGAACUGAGACACGGUCCAGACUCCUACGGGAGGCAGCAGUGGGGAAUUUUGGGACAAUGGGCGGAAGCCUGAUCCAGCCAUGCCGCGUGAGUGAAGAAGGCCUC
rnacentral:rRNA from 1 species